rnacentral:rRNA from 1 species
GGCACAUGCAGCAUUUGUGGCUACGGGGAGGAGGACGAGCACCAUGCCGUUAUUACCUGUACCAAGAGCCGGGCCUUGAGGGCAGAAAUGAGAAAGAUCUGGGCGUUACCGGCUGAGCAUAAACUAAGAUACACUGGAACAGAUUGGUUACAAGUUGUCCUCGAUGCGGAAAAUGAGGAGGUGCGCGCCAAGUUACUGUUACUCCUAUGGCGACGCUGGCACCAUAGGGAAGAUUGCAUGCGCCAUGAUGGUAAAGAAUCUAUCAUGGGUUCUGUGAUCUUCUUGCAGAAGUACGAGGAGGACUUGAGGUCUGCUGUCGGGACCAAUGACAACCAGGGCGACCUCCUGAAGGCGGGAGUGGAGAGGGGAACUCGAACCGCUGGCCCAAUUCCCAAAGCAGAUAAGUGGUCGGCGCCCAACCGGGGAACGGCCAAAAUAAAUACCGACGCUGCUUUCAAUACUACCACCGGGGAGAGCGCAGCCGGCGCAAUUGCCAGGGACUACAGAGGACUGGUCUUUCUUUCUGUCUGCAAAAAGCUGCCGGAGUGUAGCAGUGUUAGUGAGGCUGAGGCCAGAGCUGCCCUGGUUGGGCUCACGUCGAUGAGCAAAUACUAUAAUGGGGAGGUGGUACUGGAGAUGGAUAAUCAAGACGUCAUUGAUGAGUUAAACUCAAAACUCCCUCCCCGAUCGGACUGA